GACAGAGGGUGCAAACGUUGUUCGGAUUUACUGGGCGUAAAGGGCGCGUAGGCGGCCUGCUAAGUCGAACGUGAAAUCCCCUGGGCUCAACCCAGGAACUGCGUCCGAUACUGGUUGGCUUGAAUCCGGGAGAGGGAUGCGGAAUUCCAGGUGUAGCGGUGAAAUGCGUAGAUAUCUGGAGGAACACCGGUGGCGAAGGCGGCAUCCUGGACCGGUAUUGACGCUGAGGCGCGAAAGCCAGGGGAGCAAACGGG
rnacentral:rRNA from 1 species